GCUGCUCAAAUCUUUACACACCGCUACGAGGUGAGCAGUAGGCAACGAUCUAUUCGGAUCGGCUGAGAUGUGAA
rnacentral:ribozyme from 1 species